GAUGAACGCUGGCGGCGUGCCUAAUACAUGCAAGUCGAGCGAAUGGAUUAAGAGCUUGCUCUUAUGAAGUUAGCGGCGGACGGGUGAGUAACACGUGGGUAACCUGCCCAUAAGACUGGGAUAACUCCGGGAAACCGGGGCUAAUACCGGAUAACAUUUUGAACCGCAUGGUUCGAAAUUGAAAGGCGGCUUCGGCUGUCACUUAUGGAUGGACCCGCGUCGCAUUAGCUAGUUGGUGAGGUAACGGCUAACCAAGGCAACGAUGCGUAGCCGACCUGAGGGGGUGAUCGGCCACACGGGGACUGAGACACGGCCCAGACUCCUACGGGAGGCAGCAGUAGGGAAUCUUCCGCAGUGGACGAAAGUCUGACGGAGCAACGCCGCGUGAGUGAUGAAGGCUUUCGGGUCGUAAAACUCUGUUGUUAGGGAAGAACAAGUGCUAGUUGAAUAAGCUGGCACCUUGACGGUACCUAACCAGAAAGCCACGGCUAACUACGUGCCAGCAGCCGCCGUAA
rnacentral:rRNA from 1 species